rnacentral:tRNA from 1 species
UUAAAUUACAGGUGAAAGUCCCGUACAUCUCA